ACAGGGAUUGCAGAGGUUGGAG
rnacentral:miRNA from 1 species